rnacentral:misc_RNA from 1 species
GAAAUGCGAUAAGUAAUGUGAAUUGCAGAAUUCCGCGAAUCAUCAGAUCCUUGAACGCAACUGGCGCUGGGAGGCUCUCCUCCCAGCAUGUCUGUUUCAGUGUCUGAAAACAUCAUAUUUAUCUUAAUGUGGAUGACAAGAUGUAUCCUAACUUUUCUAAGUUGUUACAUUAAGUCUUCCAUGAAAGAUGUACAUGCGGGUUUUUGGACCCCUCAUCGAAUUGGUCACUGUCUCAUCAGUGAUUUCGAUAGGGAGAUUUCUAAUUACCUGAUAUGCAUGUAUCUAAAAAACUAAUAUAUGUCUUCAAACUCUGCAUCUGAAAUCAGGCAAGAACACCCGCUGAACUUAA